GUGGGUGUAGCUCAGUGGUAGAGCGCGUGCUUAGCAGGCAUGAGGUCCCGGGUUCCAACCUCAGUAUCGCCA
rnacentral:tRNA from 1 species